AUACGGAGGAUCCGAGCGUUAUCCGGAUUUAUUGGGUUUAAAGGGUGCGCAGGCGGCCAUUUAAGUCAGCGGUUAAAUCGUGGGGCUCAACCCCAUUCUGCCGUUGAUACUGGGUGGCUUGAUUGCGGUCGAGGUUGGCGGAAUUCGUUGUGUAGCGGUGAAAUGCAUAGAUAUGACGAAGAACACCGAUUGCGUAGGCAGCUGACCAGACCGCAAAUGACGCUCAUGCACGAAAGUGCGGGGAUCGAACAGGAUUAGAUACCCUGGUAGUCCACGCAGUAAACGAUGAUCACUAGCUGUUUGCGAUACACUGUAAGCGGCACAGCGAAAGCGUUAAGUGAUCCACCUGGGGAGUACGCCGGCAACGGUGAAACUCAAAUGAAUUGGCGGGG
rnacentral:rRNA from 1 species